rnacentral:miRNA from 1 species
UCUGCACGGUGGCUCUUUUAAA